UCUCGGGGCCGUAGUGCAGGUUUCUCCUGGUUCCUCGGUCUCCCGAGCCCCGCGCGGAGGGCGGCGGGUGUCGCGCCGGAGGUGGCGGUGUCCCGCGUGCGCUUUCGGCCCGCUCUCCCUGGACAGGACACCGCUCAGUGAAGUCGUCAGGGCCCAGCUCCGGGCGCCGUGACCUUUUCUUCUCGGAGGCCCUGCGGUUCCAUCAGUGCCGGGUGUCCCAGACGUGACCCGCCCCCGCCCUCGCGACUGGCUUUCGGAAUUGUGCGCCCCGCUUCUGUUAGGAUUACCUCCCGUUUCUCCUUGGAAACUUGGACGUCCACAACUGAUGCCCUUUUCCCCCUGUACUUGCUCCCGUCAGUUGACAGGUGCCAUCGAUUCUACCUCCGCAGUAAUUGUGGCAUCCAGCCACUCUGCGUACACACUGCCUGCACCUCCUCGAGGGUCUCGACCCCUCAACGGGGCAAGUGCAGUACUUUUCCUCUAGCGUCACUCACUCGCCAACCCUGUAGUCCUUUUCAAGCACAGCUGUGAUCAGAAAUCGUCACGGGCUCCCUGUUGCCUGUAGGUUAAGGACCUGAUUUGUGAACUUGGAUUCAAAACGAACGAUUUUCUGCUGUUCCCCUUUCCUCCUCCCUUGUCGGUGGGAAACCAGACCGUAUGAAUCUCUCCCGACCUCCCUUUACCUUCUAAAGAUUGCUCCUGGCUCUUUCUCCUUAGGAAUACUCUUCCUUCCCUAUCUUCGUACACUGUUGAAAUUCUGCCCGUUGUUUAAAGCCACAUAGUGACCUCGCCGUCUGGAAAUAAAUUUUCUUUCUUUGGAAUGUCUGUCAUACUUUCCAAACCAUUCUUCAUGUAUUCAUUCAGUUAUUACCACUUCGUAGUUUCGAAUUAAAACGGGGUGUACGAUUCCUCCCCCUCCUAGACUGUAAACAGACCUCCAUCACUUCUGCAUCCUGGAAUGUGUGACGCUGUGCUUUGUAUAAAGCGAGCACUCCGUAAAUGCAGAACGCAUGUGGAGCUGCCAGCGUUCCAGGCCAUGUUUUAGAAGCACCGACCUAGUAAAAGUGACUAGGACAGCAUGGAUGAGGAGCUCCGAUAGUCAUUACUCGCCUUGGAUAGUAAAGGUGAGAGGGGAAAGAGCAAGGUUGCAAUAACUGAGUAGCGCUCUCCUUAGUGACCGAGUGGAUGGUGGGGGGAAAGGAUUGUGAGCAACCAGGGAGGACUCCAGUUCUGUAAGCCAAGAAAUCCAGACUGAAUGCCCGUAGGGUGAAUUUUUUAAACAUAUGUUUAUUUUGGGGAGAGCGCAAGCGGGUGAGGGGGAGUGAGAGGGGGACAUAGGAUCUGAAGUGGGCUCUGCGCUGACAGCAGGAGCCAGACGUGGGGCUUGAACUCGUGAACAGCGUGUGAUCAUGAUCUGAGUUGAAGUCUGACGCUCGACUGACUGAGCCACUCAGGUGCCCCUAGGGUGAGUUGGUUUCAAGGCAGAAAAUGAGCUCAGAUCUCAAACAGAUUUGGAGACUAUGAGAUGGCUGAAGACAGAGAGGUUAUGGCACAGUAUACAAGUGUGUGAGUCAUCCGUGAAGAAACAACAGUUGAACUCCUCGGUGUAUGUGAUCUUUCCAAAAGAGAAAGUAUUUAUAGAGAAGAGCAGAAGGCCAAGGCCUACGCCUCAGGAAAUACUCCUAUUGAGGAGGCAGGAAUAGGAAAUAUAAACUUGGAAGAAAAGAUGAGAAUAAAUACAUGGUAGCAAUGUCACAGUUGGAAAACUCAGAAAACUGCUUCCCCACCUGGUAUCAGGAGGCAGGGAGGCUAUUUGGGAAAAAGAGGGCUGUUGAGCAGUUUGCUGACUUCCUUCUGACUUUAUUAGGGCAUUACUUCUAGGUAAUGAGGACUCGCACCGGAAAGAGCGUGAUUUCUUUAAUUUCGUAAGCGCUUAGGAGCUCCAAGCUUCUGAGAGUUUCUGGGAAGAACUGUAGAUAAUUCUGACCAAUUUCAAGUGAGACUAUUUCUGCGCAUAAUGUCUUCUUAUAUUCUGUCUGAUAUUUUAUCAGUUUUAUACCUCAUUUUCUGGCAUCGUUGGGGAAUAAUCUGUUCCAUGAAAAGAAAUUUUUCAGAUAACGGACAUUUAGCCUUUAAGCAUUAAAACGUUUUCUCUGGAACCACUUUAAAAAAAAUUUUUUUUAUUUUUAUUUUUUUUAAUUUUUCAGAGAGAGAGAGAGAGCAUGAGUGUGAGCAGGGGAGGGGCAGAGAAAGAGGGAGACACAGAAUGCUAAGCAGGCUCCAGGCUCUGAGCCAUCAGCACAGAGCCUGUUGCGAGGCUGAAACCCACGAGCUGUCAGAUCAUAACCUGAGCCGAGGUUGGGCGCUUAACCGAUUGAGCCAACCAGGUGCACCUCACUGGAACCACUUUUGAUAGAAAUGUACACAAAACGUAGUACUUCUCUGCCAUGAACACAGCAAAUGGGACAUGAUUUAAACUACGCUUGGCAACUAAAGCUUACUGUCACAGCAUCCGUUAUUAUGCUCUGCCGAGUAGUAAAGUCCUUGGCCCUGUUGACACAUCUGGAAAAGACUGCCCUAUGUUAAUUGGCGUUUUUUUGGUCUCUGUUAUUAGUGUUAUAUCUCAAUGGCUUUUCCUCAAGCAGCUCUGUAAAUUAACCUCAUUUACCCAUAAUUUUAAGCCUCACAUUGACCCAGUGAUCUGGAGGCAAAAUACACCAGCAGACAUCCCUGGGGAAUCCUGGCAGCUAAAGAGUCCUUCAUUCAGAGGCUACCUGGGGGAACGUCAGCAUGUUUCCCUGCCCUGACUUUAUCCUCUGCAAAAUGGGAAUAAUAGUCCUCGCUGAUUCUCUUCCUCAUGAGGUUAUGCAGAUGGUCAGAACAGUUGAAACACCGAUUCCAACAGUUGGCAGAUACAAAGGGAAACAUUUAAGACAGUGAGUCAGAAGGAAGGUGAACCCUCCAACGGGAUCGGGGACAUCAGCAAAACAACGCGUGCACGUGGUCACCGGCGCCCGGCUGCACCCGGUGCCGGCCUCCACGCGCUCCCCCAGUGAUACGUGCGCCUCGAGAGCUUCUCCGAAAGGUGUUUGGCAGCUUCCCUGUGACUGAGCCCCCAUUGGCUGGACAUGACCCAAAAGUUCGUUAUUUCUCUGUAGUGAAAGUUACUUCCCCCGCCCCUUUGGUAUUUCACUUUAAUUUGCUCAUUUUUUGUGAACUCUAACACAAAGUUUAGUCAUUUAUUUAACAUGUGAUUUCUGUUCAGAUAGAACUCUAGGAAAAAAAACCCAAAAACCCA